rnacentral:rRNA from 1 species
GACGAACGCUGGCGGCGUGCCUAAUACAUGCAAGUUGAGCGCUGAAGGUUGGUACUUGUACCAACUGGAUGAGCAGCGAACGGGUGAGUAACGCGUGGGGAAUCUGCCUUUGAGCGGGGGACAAUAUUUGGAAACGAAUGCUAAUACCGCAUAAAAACUUUAAACACAAGUUUUAAGUUUGAAAGAUGCAAUUGCAUCACUCAAAGAUGAUCCCGCGUUGUAUUAGCUAGUUGGUGAGGUAAAGGCUCACCAAGGCGGUGAUACAUAGCCGACCUGAGAGGGUGAUCGGCCACAUUGGGACUGAGACACGGCCCAAACUCCUACGGGAGGCAGCAGUAGGGAAUCUUCGGCAAUGGACGAAAGUCUGACCGAGCAACGCCGCGUGAGUGAAGAAGGUUUUCGGACCGUAAAACUCUGUUGGUAGAGAAGAACGUUGGUGAGAGUGGAAAGCUCAUCAAGUGACGGUAACUACCCAGAAAGGGACGGCUAACUACGUG